rnacentral:misc_RNA from 1 species
CCUCUCACCCACCUUACGCCUCUGUAAGUAACAAGUAUCUUACACUCUUGUUUCGCGUUAUCUUGGUUAAAUGUAUUGCUGUUUGAAGUACGUAUCCUGCUCUUUUCGUUAUUUUGAUGUGCAAAUCGAUAAAGAAGCGCACUUUAGAAUAUGUUUAGGCUAUUGCUUUUUGAAGCGGAAAUCGUUCAAUAGAAGCAUGUUCAAAUUGUAAAAGUGAAAGUUGCUUUCUAUUUGCCCUGGAAAGUCACUUCUAAAAUAAUUGCCCUGUCUGGAACUGAUAUGUAUGCUUUUGGAAGCAUGUUUUUCCUUGGUUUUAGCUUAAUUCAGUGAGUGUUAACUCAGUUAAAGCACAUCAAACAGUACCAUCUUUGUGGUUGUUACAUGUUCUCAUUUGGCCUCCCUUUUUCUUUUCUUCCUUCUAAAGAUGAUUCUAAGGGCAAUUUCAGAGUUGAAUGAUGAAGGGGGGUCCACCGAGGAGGCAAUAUCAGCAUUUAUUAAAAGAGAGUAUGAGCAUUUGCCAUGGGGGCAUGAGAG